rnacentral:rRNA from 1 species
GGGUAAUGGCCUACCAAGGCGGCGACGGGUAGCCGGCCUGAGAGGGUGGACGGCCACAUUGGGGCUGAGACACGGCCCAGACUCCUACGGGAGGCAGCAGUGGGGAAUAUUGCACAAUGGGCGCAAGCCUGAUGCAGCGACGCCGCGUGGGGGAUGGAAGGCCUUCGGGUUGUAAACUCCUUUCGCCCGGGACGAAGCCCACCUGGUGGGUGACGGUACCGUGGAGAAGAAGCACCGGCUAACUACGUGCCAGCAGCCGCGGUAAUACGUAGGGUGCAAGCGUUGUCCGGAUUUACUGGGCGUAAAGAGCUCGUAGGUGGUGUGUCGCGUCGUCUGUGAAAUUCCGGGGCUUAACUCCGGGCGUGCAGGCGAUACGGGCACGACUAGAGUGCUGUAGGGGUAACUGGAAUUCCUGGUGUAGCGGUGAAAUGCGCAGAUAUCAGGAGGAACACCGAUGGCGAAGGCAGGUUACUGGGCAGUUACUGACGCUGAGGAGCGAAAGCAUGGGGAGCGAACAGGAUUAGAUACCCUGGUAGUCCAUGCUGUAAACGGUGGGCGUUAGGUGUGGGGACCGGUUUGGUUUCUGUGCCGUAGCUAACGCAUUAAGCGCCCCGCCUGGGGAGUACGGCCGCAAGGCUAAAACUCAAAGGAAUUGACGGGGGCCCGCACAAGCGGCGGAGCAUGUGGAUUAAUUCGAUGCAACGCGAAGAACCUUACCUGGGUUUGACAUGCACCAGAUCGGCGUAGAGAUACGUCCUCCCUUGUGGUUGGUGCACAGGUGGUGCAUGGUUGUCGUCAGCUCGUGUCGUGAGAUGUUGGGUUAAGUCCCGCAACGAGCGCAACCCUUGUCUUAUGUUGCCAGCACAUUUUUGGUGGGGACUCAUGAGAAACUGCCGGGGUCAACUCGGAGGAAGGUGGGGAUGACGUCAAAUCAUCAUGCCCUUUAUACCCAGGGCUUCACACAUGCUACAAUGGUCGGUACAACGGGUUGCGACACUGUGAAGUGAAGCUAAUCUCUUAAAGCCGGCCUCAGUUCGGAUUGGGGUCUGCAACUCGACCCCAUGAAGUCGGAGUCGCUAGUAAUCGCAGAUCAGCAACGCUGCGGUGAAUACGUUCCCGGGCCUUGU